rnacentral:lncRNA from 1 species
ACAGAUCGGUGGAUUCCAGGGAUUGAACCUAGUACAUGGCAGAACGGAGAUGAAAAUAGGGAGCUAAAAACAGUAUCAGAUUUAAUUGAUGUAACAAAUAAGAAGUGGAAAACGGAGGUCAUUAUUAGUACCUUUCAAUCGGAUAUAGCUAAAAAAAUUUUGGAGAUACCACUUGCAGAAACGGACAGUGAAGACUUGCGCGUUUGGAAAGGUGAACCGACCGGAGAGUUCUCUGUACGGAGCACCUAUAAACUAUUACAAGAAGUUGAUUCAAUUUCUAAUAACUUAUUACAGACCGAUUUUAAAGAAUUCUACAGAAAGUUAUGGGAUUUACAACUUCCAUAAAAAACUCUACUGUUUGUCUGGCGAAUAUCCUGGAACUAUAUUCCUACACUAGCCAACCUACGAUACAAGCGAAUAACCACAAAUGUGAGAUGCCCUCGAUGUGGCUUCGGGGAAGAGGACAACUUUUAUGUAUUCCAGCAAUGCCUUACAAGUACUGAAGUUUAGCAUAAUAUUAACAUGGAUUGGGUUACAUCAUAUUCAGAUCAAAAUACCAGAACAUGGCUUACAUGGGUAUUUGCAAAAGGAACUAAGGAACAGUGUCAGAUGUUUUGCUGCGCUUUAUGGAUCAUAUGGAGCUCACGAAAUCAAAUGGCACAUGAAAAAAAACACGCAUCAGAAAGGGACCUUGCACAGAAAAUAGAAAGCUAUAUAGCAGAACUUGAAGAAGUGGGUAAAGAAAGACGUACCUUGAAGACUGCCAGAAUAUAGAGACAUACGGAGGACACAACACAAUUUGAUGCAGCUUUUGAUGCAAACAGGUCUAGAUCGGAGUCGGGGGUCAUUGUACGAAAUCGGAUAGGAGAGAUAAGAGUCUUAAAAACAACCCUUCAUUCCAAUGUCUCAUCUCUAUUUCUUGCAGAGGCAUUCACUUGUCUACAGGCAAUCAAG